CCUACGGGGGGCAGCAGUGAGGAAUAUUGGUCAAUGGACGAGAGUCUGAACCAGCCAAGUAGCGUGAAGGAUGACUGCCCUAUGGGUUGUAAACUUCUUUUAUAUGGGAAUAAAACGUUCCACGUGUGGGAUUUUGUAUGUACCAUAUGAAUAAGGAUCGGCUAACUCCGUGCCAGCAGCCGCGGUAAUAAGGAGGAUCCGAGCGUUAUCCGGAUUUAUUGGGUUUAAAGGGAGCGUAGGUGGAUUGUUAAGUCAGUUGUGAAAGUUUGCGGCUCAACCGUAAAAUUGCAGUUGAAACUGGCAGUCUUGAGUACAGUAGAGGUGGGCGGAAUUCGUGGUGUAGCGGUGAAAUGCUUAGAUAUCACGAAGAACUCCGAUUGCGAAGGCAGUUCACUGGACUGCAACUGACACUGAGGCUCGAAAGUGUGGGUAUCAAACAGGAUUAGAUACCCCUGUAGUC
rnacentral:rRNA from 1 species